UUUUUUUUUUUUUUUUCUUUUCUUUUUUCUUCCCUUUCCUUCCUUUCUUUUUGGUUUAGAGAAGCCCUUUCAAUAUUUCCUUUAACCUGGGUUUUGUGUUGCUGUAUUCUUUAAGUUUUUGUUUGUUGGGAAAAAUUUUUAUUUCCCCUUCUAUUUUAAAUGAUAUUCUUGCUGGAUAGAGUAUUCUAGGUUGCAUAUUUUUUCCUUUGAGCACUUUAAAUAUCUCUUGCCAUUCCCUCCUGGCCUGUAGUGUUUCUGUAGAGAAAUCAGCUGAUAUUCUUAUGGGGGUUCCCUUGUAGGUAACAUUCUGUUUUUCUCUUGCUGCCUUUAGGAUCCUCUCUUUAUCACUAACUUUUGCCAUUUUUAUUAUGAUGUGUCUUGGUGUGGGUCUGUUUGGGUUCAGUUUGUUUGGGGCCCUCUGUGCUUCUUGUAUCUUGAAUCCAGUAUCCUUUAGAUUUGGGAAGUUUCCAGCGAUAAUUUCUUCAAAUAUAUUUUCCAUUCCCUUAUCUUUUUCUACUCCUUCUGGAAUUCCUAUUAUGCGUAGAUUGGCCCGCUUUAUAUUAUCCCAUAGGUCUCUUAUAUUGCUUUCCAGUUUUUUGAUUCGGUUUUCUGUCUGUUGACCAGAUUGAGUGAUUUCCAUUAUUCUAUCUUCCAUAUCACUGAUUCGUUCUUCUGCAUUAUUCAUUCUGGUUUUUACUGCCCCUAGUUCAGUUUGCAUCUCUGCAAAUGAAUGUUCUAGUUUUUCUUGGCUCCUCCUUAUAUUUUCUAGUUCCUUUCUGAGGGUAUCUGCAUUACUGUUCAUAUCUUCUCUUAAUUCCUUCAGUAUUUUCACUAUUUCUCUUUUGAACUCCAGGUCUGUCUGACUGCAGAGAUCUGUUUCAUUGUUGACUGUUUUAGGUGAGUUCUCCUGUUGGUUUGACUGGGGGUGGUUUCUCAGCUUCUUCAUCUUGCUUGUUGUUUUCUUUCUCCUGAGGGAGUUGUACUCUCCGUUAUCGGGCAGUGUUUGCCUUGUCACUGCCGUGGAAUAUUUCCUGAGGGCUGGCGUUGUUGGUCAAUCUUUUUUGAGGCAGUGUGGCUUUUCUGGAGUGUUGAUGGGGCUAACAGUGUUUCUUUGAAGCAAAGGAGGACUUCCUGAGGGCAGACAGGACUGGGAGGUCCACACCACGAUGGUAGCAGAUUUCACUUGGUCAUGCAGAGCUUGCUCUGGUGUUUUUAGGCUGUGGGGUUCUUGCAGGGGGUUGGCGGUGUUGGGCAGCUGUUCCUCAGGAGUGCAGCACCCCCUGGGGGCUGGAGCAGCUAUCUGGGUCACUGAGAACCUAAGAGGCUCUUCCCUAGGGCAUCCCAACUCAGAAGGACAGCCUGAGAAUGUAGGUGGAUCUUUUCACAGUCUGGCCAAGCUUGUUGCAGCUUUUCUGGGCUGCAGGGGCUCUUCCAGGGGGAUGGUGGUGCUGAGCAGCUAUUCCGUGGGAGUGGGGCACCCCCUGAAGGCUUGGGCGGCAGGGCUGCUGAAAACCCAAGAGGCUCCUCCCCGGAGCAGCCCGACUCAGAAAAACCAUCUGAGAAUUAGGCAGAUCUAUUCACAGCCUGGCUAGGCUUGUUCUAGCUUUUCUGGGCUGCAGGCCUUUUCUUGGGGGCUGGU
ensembl:lncRNA